rnacentral:rRNA from 1 species
UACGUAGGGUGCGAGCGUUGUCCGGAAUUAUUGGGCGUAAAGAGCUCGUAGGCGGCUUGUCGCGUCGGAUGUGAAAGCCCGGGGCUUAACUCCGGGUCUGCAUUCGAUACGGGCAGGCUAGAGUUCGGUAGGGGAGAUCGGAAUUCCUGGUGUAGCGGUGAAAUGCGCAGAUAUCAGGAGGAACACCGGUGGCGAAGGCGGAUCUCUGGGCCGAUACUGACGCUGAGGCGCGACAGCGUGGGGAGCAAACAGG